GGUCGGUUUUAUCUCCACACUCCGCCUCGGUUCAGCGAGCGGGGGGCGGGGAGUCCUCUUGCCCAAGCGCCCCGGAGCCCGGCCGCCACCUCUCCCGCGCGCUCCCCAGCCGGCCGCUCGGGACGCCGCCGCCGCCGCGCAGAAAACAAAUAACAAAGGGAAGCGACCUCCGCUACACACUGGGCGGCAAAGUCACUUAGUCCAGAAUCAGAGUGACCUGACCACGCUGAGAGUUACACCAGUGUUGAUGAUAAUGGAACCAGACUCCCAUCAUGCUUUGAGCUAGGCCAAAGGAGAAGGGGGAAAAUACUUUCUGAAAAAGCAAUGUUGCAAUGGCAAUUUCUAUAUAAGGAAUGAAAUUAUGCUAAAAGACUACAAAACCAGUUCUCACUAGCAGACGCAUAAGAAGUGUACUUUACUUUUAUUUCUGUAAUUACAAACAUAAUUGAAUACAGUGUUUGUGUAACUAAUAUAAGAAAGUAGCUAGUACUAAAGUGAAAUAUAUGUAGAGUGCUUUGUAUGCAUGCUUAAAUGUAUCACUUUGGAGUGCGUUGAAGAUGAAUGCUUUAAUUUCUCUACCUGCAGAAAGCUUAGCAGAAUCUGUCAAACUGUUGUGCCAGCUGCAGAGCCAUACCAGAAAGACAGGAGAAGAUGAAUGAUUUUGUUGAUGCUUAACCAACACUCCUUCUGUACCAAGCUAAAGCUAGUGUAGGAUAUCUUUAUGUUUGCUGACUUCUGGAAAAUUAUGUUCAAAACACGAUAAGAACCUGGUAAGAACUGUUGUAGAAAUCUUGGGUAAUGCAUGGAGAAUGCCGUCAGUCAUAAACAAGUGUCCUAUAUAGACAGGCUUGCAUUCAUUUGAAACAGACCUACAGUCUUAUUAUUACCUACAGUGGGUUAUUUGACAUCUCAGACCCUAACACGGUGUAACUAUAUAGUAUUAUACCAGUAAAUUUUCUUGUGUGGACAAGUCCUUUUGUACCAUAUUUGGAUACCUAAGUAGCUGCAGCAGCAAAAAAUGCUCUCUGCCAUCUGCAGCUGGCCAAAAGAUUGUACCUGAUCUAAAUGAAUGCAGAUUUGGCUACAAUGAUCACACAAGUGUGAUAUCUAGCUGGGACUGUUUCGAGUCUCUUUAUUAAGGAAGCAAGUCUCCUGCCUUGAGGAAGCUCUAGCAGCCAUCUACUCAGCAACACAGGCUACCAGGAACACAUCAUCCCACAAAGCCACUCUCUGUACAGAUUGAACACAAAAUCCAGUUCAAGGUUGCUCUCCUAGUUUUCAGACUCCUAGCUGGAAUGGGUCCAUCUCUCCCCCUGUAAUCAUAACCUCCCACAUCAGCUGCAUUCCACUGUAACAGUGUUACUGUUGACAAAUAGGGUUAGCCUGUGGGAGUUAGGAAGUGAACCAGAAAUAUGGAACCAUGUUGCAUUCAGAUCUUAAUAAUAUAAAACUUCUCAUUCACUUCAGCCAGCUUUCCCACAAUAAUACCCUCAGUCUCACAGAUACAUUCAUUUCAAAACAGCAAAAACCCUAAACUCUCUUCCCUUUAAUAAUAUCCUUAUUUCACUAAUUCUCCAAUCAUAAUGUCUUCCAGGCUAGGCAGGAACUGAAUUUUUAAUAUAAACAAAGCUUUCUUCUGAAAAUACCUUUCAUCAUAAACAAGCAAAAAAUGUGUGGAAGGCCUUUUUCACCCCCAUUUUCAGAGACACCUUUAAAAGCAGAUAGAGAUGAAGAGACAUAUAGACCUGGUCUUCACUAGAAAAAAAUGUUUGUUAACAUGUUAAAAUCCUAGAGUAGACAAGACAAGUAUUUUUAACACAUAUGAGGUGGUGAGUUAAACCUGAGGAUCCUCACUAGGGUUAAAGAAUUAAUACAAAUCUAUGCUAGGGUAUUAACGUGUAACAUGUUAGCAAACACACCUUUUUCUUUGUGAAGACAUGGCCUAUAAAGGUGUGUUCAAAGCUAAUAUGCAUCAGCAGUUAAAAUAAGUGAUUUCAAUCACAACGACUAAGUUUGUAUUCUGUCUCCCUGAGCAGCAGCUGCUGAAAGAAAGAAAAACAAGAUGGAAACAGUUGUCUCUGCUCUGAUUGUUGUUUAUGUCCUGGAUGAAGGAAGAAGAGCUCUGGGAAUUCAACUGAGACAUAUGUAUCAGAGGUUAUCUGGAUUACUAGUGUGUUAUUUUUAUAAAGGUCCAGAGAAAGCUAUUAUGCUGGCCAUGACAUCCUGGGAGUGAACAAAGAUUCUUUUGCAGGAAUGUAAACUACCUCAUCAGAGGCCAUCUAGUUGAACACAUCCUUUUGUUACCUCAGAGCACAGAAUAAAUUACUUCCCUAAUGAUAAAAAAUAGCAGAGUGGCAAGGCCAUUAAGCAAAGCCAUUGUUUCACAUGUAUCUCAUGGAAACAAAGUACUAAAACCCCCCACCCUCCUCAAUAUAUAUGAUGACUGAAUACAUAUGGGAAAGGCACUGCUAUUAAAAUACUGUAAUGCAAAUCAGUAGAAGAAAAACAGGACACUUUUGCCUCACCUACAAUGGGCAUUUAAUCAAAUUAGCUGAACUGAUUUUAAAUGGCUUAAAAGAGGUUAACAGUUUUAACGUGGAUUGACUGAACAAUUUAGCCUGGGCUAGACUGAAUCUAUCUAUCUAAGGUAUUUAUCUGGUCCCCAUCACUACAGUAUCUGAAUACCUCACAAUCUUGAAUGUAUUUAUCCUCACAAUACUCCUGUGAGGUAUGUAAGUAUUAUUUUUACAGAGGGGAAACUGAGGCACGGAGCUCAAGUGAAUUGCCCAAGGUUACAGAGGAAGUCUGUGGUGGAGCAGGGAAUCCAACCUUCUUGCUAGCACCUUAUCCUCUCUAAACCCAAUUUAAACUUUUAAAUAUUUAAACAGUUAAAACAUUUUCAGCUAACUCAAAGGCUCAGUGUAGUCAGGAUCUGAAGAAGGAGUGAUCUAUGGAAGUCUAGGAGAAAACAGAAUUAUAACCAUAGAAAGUAAGAUUAAAAGAGGAACCAAUUACAAUUGGAGAAAAUAUCACUUUGGAGAGUGAAGGAAAUGAUUGUCUCUAGUCCAAUUUAGCAAUUCAGGGAACUGAUGAUUCAGAGUCUUUCAUCUCUAGUUUACCAAUUAACAUAUAACCCAGGGUUGUAGUUAGAGACAGUUGUUACCAUCUUACGUUGGGCAGACUAUGCAAUGAAUUUUGAUGGUCUCAGUGCAGUUCUAUGUCACAGGAGUGAGUGUAGCAUCAUUUGGAAUUUUGUUGGUACUUGUAGCCUAAGCAGUGUGACACACCCAGACCAGUGGGAUACAGGUAGAGGGAUGAGUAGUUACUGGUCACUGGAUGAGUAGUUUUCUAUUCCCUGAGUGACCAGAGCAGGGGCUGCACUAGAGUAAUCAGGAACUUGCUAGAACCAGUUAAGGCAGGCAGGCUAAUUAGGACACCUGGAGCCAAUUAAGAAGCAGCUGCUAGAAUCAAUUAAGGCAGGCUGAUCAGGGCACCUGGGUUUUAAAAAGGAGCUCACUUCAGUUUGGGGUGUGAGUGUGAGGAGCUGGGAGCAAGAGGUGCAAGGAGCUGAGAGGGUGUGCUGUUGGAGGACUGAGGAACACAAGUGUUAUCAGACAGGAGGAGGAAGGUCCUGUGGUGAGAAUAAAGAAGGUGUUUGGAGGAGGCCAUGGAGAAGUAGCCCAGGGAGUUGUAGCUGUCAUGCAGCUGUUACAGGAGGCACUAUAGACAGCUGCAGUCCACAGGGCCCUGGGCUGGAACCUGGAGUAGAGGGCGGGCCUGAGUUCCCCCCAAACCUCCCAAUUGACCUGGACUGUGGGUUGUCCCAGAGGGGAAGGUCUCUGGGCUGUUCCCCAACCCACAUGGUGAAUCUCUGAGACAAGAAAAUCCGCCAAUAAGUGCAGGGCCUACCAAGAUAGAGGAGGAACUUUCCCACAGCUGUGGGGAAAUAGAACAGGGGGACCUUCUUUUUAAUAGGCAGAGCUUUAAAUCUGAAGGCCCCGAAAUAAACCCUCCAACAGAGAUCUGUUAUGCUGACUGCCUUUACACAGAGUAGUACAGGCCUAAGACUGAACAACCCGGUUCUCUACCAAAUUUGGUCAAGGGUAAUGACCGGGGGGGGGGGGGGGGUGAAAAA